CGUACACUCCUGCGGGAGGCAGCAGUGAGGAAUAUUGGACAAUGGGUGGAAGCCUGAUCCAGCCAUCCCGCGUGCAGGAAGACGGCCCUAUGGGUUGUAAACUGCUUUUAUCUGGGGAUAAACCUACUUACGUGUAAGUAGCUGAAGGUACCAGAAGAAUAAGCACCGGCUAACUCCGUGCCAGCAGCCGCGGUAAUACGGAGGGUGCAAGCGUUAUCCGGAUUUAUUGGGUUUAAAGGGUCCGUAGGCGGACUGAUAAGUCAGUGGUGAAAUCCGACAGCUUAACUGUCGAACUGCCAUUGAUACUGUUAGUCUUGAGUAAGGUUGAAGUGGCUGGAAUAAGUAGUGUAGCGGUGAAAUGCAUAGAUAUUACUUAGAACACCAAUUGCGAAGGCAGGUCACUAAGUCUUAACUGACGCUGAGGGACGAAAGCGUGGGGAGCGAACAGGAUUAGAAACCCCUUUAGUCCCAUG
rnacentral:rRNA from 1 species